ACGAAUUCACUGGAAGCUCUCAAACGAGGCUGGCAGAAGCUGAAAUUGAAGUGGUCUCUGACCUAAUUUUCUUCUGCAUGAAACAUCUGCAUCAAGGCUCUCUUUGAUGUAUUCCACUUGGCUCUGUCUACGGGAUUGUAUCACAUGGACUCGGUGUUGCCUCCUUAUUGAAAGACAUUUCCAGCCUUUGCAAGAUGGCCCGUUUGACACAAAUUAGAACAACCUUGAUAGCUGUCAACUGGAGACUAUCUGAGAACAAAAGGACAUUACUGCAAACCAGCACUGGAGCAACUCUGAAAGAAGAUAAAAGUACAUGAAGAAAUCGUUUGCAGGCACUGGACAAAAAAGAGUGCAAAGCUAUAAUCUUGAGAGCAGGAAACACACAGACACCUGGCAGGAGACAGAAACUCACAUCAUUCCUCCUGACCAUUACUCCUCCAGAGAGAACCUUGUUCCCUGGCAGAAAGCUUCAGUGCUAAAACUAGCAAAUAUCAACAGGUUUCAAAGACUAUGGAUCUUAAGUCAUGAGACUGGAGAAGACACCAAAGCCAUGACCAUUUGAUUCUGGAAGAACAUGCAAGUGUUCUAUGACAUCGAUAAACCAUUGGCCUCAUUCUGGUGUUUGGCCAUUUAUCACGUUUGCAGCAUCACACAAAAUGAUGCUCUCUCCUGCCAAGUCCUAUUUUUUGGGAGGAGGAAAUGGAUUAGGUCCUGGAAGUUGUCAUAAAUGCAUCAAGUGACUUUCUCAGCAUCAUCUGAAACAAUGAGAACAUUGAGGCAAGGGAACAGGUGGCCAAAAAUACCCUCAUAGCCUUGAGAAAGUCCAUCUUGAUGUUAUCCAGUGAAACUUAAUGGCAACACAGGAGCCAGGGAGCCUGCUUUAUUUUGGAAAUGAAAA